rnacentral:rRNA from 1 species
AUACGGAGGGGGUUAGCGUUGUUCGGAAUUACUGGGCGUAAAGCGCACGUAGGCGGAUUGGAAAGUUGGGGGUGAAAUCCCAGGGCUCAACCCUGGAACUGCCUCCAAAACUAACAGUCUAGAGUUCGAGAGUGGUGAGUGGAAUUCCAAGUGUAGAGGUGAAAUUCGUAGAUAUUUGGAGGAACACCAGUGGCGAAGGCGGCUCACUGGCUCGAUACUGGCGCUGAGGUGCGAAAGCGUGGGGAGCAAACAGGAUUAGAAACCCUUGUAGUCC